rnacentral:rRNA from 1 species
GAUGAACGCUGGCGGCAUGCCUAACACAUGCAAGUCGAACGGGGCUCAGAGAACAGAGGACUUGUCCAAAGUUUUCGAAAGCCUAGUGGCGGACGGGUGAGUAACACGUGAGCAGCCUGCCUUGAACUGGGGAAUAACUGUGGGAAACCAUAGCUAAUACCGCAUAAAGUCACGAGAGGACAUCCUUUUGUGACCAAAGGAGCAAUCCGGUCUUAGAUGGGCUCGCGUCCGAUUAGAUCGUUGGUGAGGUAACGGCUCACCAAGUCUGCGAUCGGUAGCCGGACUGAGAGGUUGAACGGCCACAUUGGGACUGAGACACGGCCCAGACUCCUACGGGAGGCAGCAGUGGGGAAUAUUGGGCAAUGGGCGAAAGCCUGACCCAGCAAUGCCGCGUGAAGGACGAAGGUCUUCGGAUUGUAAACUUCUUUGAUCAAGGGACGAAAGAA